rnacentral:rRNA from 1 species
GACGAACGCUGGCGGCGUGCCUAAUACAUGCAAGUCGAACGCAGUGGGGACGGGUGAGUAACACGUGGGUAACCUCCCAUCCAAGGGGAUAACACUUGGAAACAGGUGCUAAACCGAUACUGAUGGAUGGACCCGCGGUGCAUUAGCUAGUUGGUUAGGUAACGGCUCACCAGGGCCACGAUGCAUAGCGGACCUGGGAGGUGGAUCGGCCACACUGGGCCUGAGACACGGCCCAGACCCCUACGGGAGUCAGCAGUAGGGAAUCUUCGGCAAUGGACGAAAUUCUGACCGAGCAACGCCGCGUGAGUGAAGAAGGUUUUCGGAUCGUAAAACUCUGUUGUUAGAGAAGCGGUAUCUAACCAGAAAGCCACGGCUAACUACGUGCCAGCCGCCGCGGUAAUUC